CCCCAGUUCUGUUCCGCUUAUAGAAGGUUCUGCGCGGUGUAACUCAAUACCUGCUUCGCCGUGAUCUGCUCUAGAAGGCAGGUCAGCCUUCCAGAAACUUACGGGUCGCUCGGCCGGGAGAACUCGCUCUCUUCUCGUACUAGCAGUCACCUUUCCCCCAGAUCGCCAAGAUGACUCGGGAGGAAAGUCGAAUCUCCUGAGCCUUUUGCUCAGCUCGAGCGCGAAGCAGGCGCCCUCUUCUAAUCGCAGUCCCUACCCUGAAGUAAGCCUGCAAUCCUCCAGGAUCUGCCUGUUAACCCGGCUGCCUCCCUCCGUCUACCCUCCCCACCCCUCCACUUUCGCUCGUUCUCCCAUCUUCGCGAGUCCCUUCUAGUUUUGAAAAAGAAAGGGAGCCAAUUAAAUCAACUCUGCUCCAGCGGAGUCCUGCCUCCUACCCAAUUCUCCCGGCCUCCCCCAGGGCCAAUUAGAGAAAACAAAACAAGGCUGACAGAAAACGGAUCUAUCUGGUUAUAUCCCCCCCCCCCCGCUUUUUUUUCAUUCCUUUCUGCAAGGAAAUGCCAGGAAUCGGCCGAGGUUUAAGCCGUCCACGCUAAAACGCACAACGCGGUCGGCUGCACCGCUUCGGCGCCCGGCCUCGUUCUUUGGAAGAGCGUCGCGGGCGGAGAGCCAGGCCGGAGGAACAGACCGCGGCGGCGGCGGCGACUGUGGGUGUAUGGGCUCCCCAGCCACCGCGAUCUAUAGGUUUGUCUUGCAGGGGGUGUCGCGAGGGGCACGCGGAUCCCGCCGGGGAGGAAGGAUCCGCACGGUGCGCUCUGCACAUUCUCCUUGCGCGCGCGCUUGCACCUGUUGUGUGGCUGCUCAUUGCGCGCUGCGAGAGCGCGGAGGCCCGCCGCGCUUGCAAGCCCAUCAGCGAUGCAAGGGGCGUCUGCAACACGCUUACGCUGCUGCUGCUGCUGUACUGGUACACGUUCGUCCACUCCGCUUCGUACGUGUCUGUGUGUCUGCGCGUUACGCCGCUCUAGCGCUCCUGCGAGGCUUUUGCGCCCGGGGGAGACGCCUGGCCCGUGAUGCAUGCAUGCAUGCACCCUCGACUCCCAAGCAGCGGUGCCGGUGUGUCUGUUUUUUUUUCUUUUUUCUUUCCUCACCCCCACCCCACUUUGCUGCAAAUCUUUCUCCACAGGCGAAGAUCCGAGGCGACCAUUUCGCCGUUCGAGGCCGUCGGGGGAGGACUUCUCUCAGUAGGCAAUUCUGGAAGUGGAGCAAGUCCUUCCAAAAGGCUCUGUAGCCAGAGUCACCCGCCUUCCUCGCAGGUGGGCGUCUGGGCAGGAUUAUGCAAGAUGUCGUGUCCCGGGUGAACAGAGCAGAGCAAAACUCCUGGAACGCAGUCUGGCUGGUCCCUUCCUUCAAACUCUCUAGGUUUGGUUUCCAUUUUUCAGGAUUUUAUUUUGCAACUUUCCUGCUUCCAGCGAUUCCCCCUUCUCCUGUUCAUUAGGUCAAGAGGAUUCUCCUCCCCACAAUCCUAUUUUAAUCUUUUUAUAAAUGAACGUUUUAUAUUCCACACCCGAGAUGAGGGAAGUGUUAAAUCAAAAUUUCCUCAAGGAACAAACCUUUAAUUUUCAAAUUACACCAAGAUCCCAUUUUAAAUGAUCCCAUUUUAGAAUGAUGGGGUGAAGAUGUGCAGACAAUGUAAGCGAGGCUGUUAAAAUAUUAAUCAAGAAGUGCCUACUUGCUUUAUAGAAACUGAUGAUGCAGAAAUAGUUCCGUUAAGUUUUACUCUCUACCCAGCCCAAAUACAUUUCCUGAAAUAAUUGAACUCCCAUCAGCCAGUCCCUGUCUUAAAAUAGCGCUGUAAAGCAUUAUUUUCUCCCAUCACAAUAAACGGAUUUGAGCUACCUGCAAGUAAUGGGGAAUAUAUAUUUCAGCAUGAGACCUUGUGAUGGUGAGGAAACGGGGCUGUUAUUGCAAACGUUUAUUCUUUCUACUGAACUCCUAGCAGUGAGGAAAUAGAUAUUUUUGAUCAUUGUGCAACUGAGUAUCUGGAGGUGUGUUAUAGAUACACUGAUUAUUUUCCACUUUUUCUGUAACAAGCAGCAUCAGUCCACCUGGGUUUGUUGUUCUUGUUUUUUGCACAAAUAAAUAAGUCACAAGACAUCUGGGGUUGAGAAGGAGGGAGCGUGUGCUUCUUGAUUCCCCCGCCCCCAUAUGUUUGUCUCUGUUUCAUUUUUACCUAUCUAAUGCGAUCUCAUCUGUAGUGAGAUCUGUCCGUGGGGAUCCACAUAAGGGGCCCCUGCAGACUUGUCAUUGAUGUAAUAGUAAUAGUGCAUUCAUGCUGGAUUUAUAUUGAACCAUCCACACAUCAUCCCACUUUAUUAUUGUUCUGCAGUGCUAAUGUUAACACUUAAUUGCCGUCUGUAGCAGCACUCUUGUUCUAUAGAGCAGAACAAAAAACAACCAGGAAAUUCGUGGUAUGGAAGGCUACAGGAUUUUAGCAGAUUUCUGCACCUCUUGCAAACAAAGCUGCAUGACCGCCCAAAAACAUUUGCUGUCAAAAAUAGCACUGAAAGUCAUGGCCCGGUGUAACUGCCCUGGUAACCUCUUGAGCACAACUCAUGAUGAACGUGCAACGAAAAGGAUGUCUGGAGGUCCCGAAGCAGCAUUCAGCCCUGCCUCUUGUUUGUCUUCAGUUUCACCUUUGCCAAGAAUCCCAACUUCCGCAGCUGAAUUCCUAAUAAUCUUUUCUCAUUCCACGAGGAAGAAGUGCAGCUGCCAGGACAUGUGAACACAAGCAAGCCGGUUGGAACCAACAGUAGCUGAACAUUGGGGUUUUCCAAAGUGGCAAGCCCUGCGGGUCACAUGCAGCAGUUAUUGGGCACCAUUGAAAGGGAUCAAAUUUCCAGCUGCCCAGUGCCUUUUUGGAUUUUCUGCCUCAGUCACCAAAAGCUUUUGAGCAGGCUUUGCAGGGUAGUGCAUCUCUACACUCUAAGCACUUGAAUGUCGGCAAAACAUUGGCUUUCAGUGAAGCCCAACAGAUUUAUUUCACCAAAGACUAUUUCUGAUUUCAUGUAAGAGACUCGAGACACACUUUUUACUCAUUUGUAUGGCAGUUUGAAUUUAGUUCUUGAUUUCAUUUAUAGCUGUCUUCUGUGGAACUCACGCCAUGAGGUUCCUAAGACUAUGUAGUCCCAAAUGCAUCCACUGACCAGACUCAGAGCUGCUUAGCAAACACACAGAGCCAGAUGUCUCGUUAGGCAGACUCCAUCAGAUGGUGGAGGUGGCAAGGCAUCGGAAGAUGGAGCUGAAUGUGCCAUGUGGUCUGCCCUCCACCCCAUCACCCAGUCUGCUGCUUUCAUCUGGUCAUUUACUGCAUGUGGAAUGAGGAGGCAGGGGUGGCACAGUUUAUUUGUAUGCUGCCAUUCCUUAGUCAAACCAUACUCAAGGCAGCAUGCAAGAUCAAAAGAUUUUAUGUAUUUCCAGAAAUAGUACAGAAGUUAAGUAAUCAGAAGCAAUACAUGGAAACUUGUCAGUAAGUAUAUGGUAAAAUUAAACAAUCCACACAUAAUUCAUAGUAAGAUCUAUCAGUAAAUAUGCAAAUAUAACGAUUAAGAGCAUAAAAAAGCAUCUUCCUAAAGUAAAUCUUGACCCCAACAAAAAACACCUAAGCAAUACUCUACCCCAGGAGUCUAUAGGCAUCUUGAGAAGCAGAGCUCACAGGGAAGCAGCUUUUGCAGCUGGAGUCAGACGGGGCCCUGCCCUUCCAAAUCUGGUGGAAAAAGGCCAGAAGAGCUGGUCUUGUAGGACUUGCAGCAAAGAGAGGAGCAGGACUAGAGCAAAUGUGGUCUCUGGGCCAGAUCUAGGAAGCAAAGUGUCUGCAUCAUGUAAUGCCAGAACAUGCCCAAUUUUUUACAGCCUUUGACUUACCUGUUUACAAGGACGCAAUAUUACUGUGCCCUCAGCCGCUUGGUAAGUAACUGGCUGUCCAAGCUCAGCACACUGCCCAUUGGACCAUACCACAUUAGGUUGCCUUAUCAGUUACAGAAAUUGAAAAUAACAUCUUGG